UGAGCUACUAGCUCUACGGCGUACGCUGGGUUGGCGCUUGCGCGCUGACUCGUGCGCCGCCGAGCGGAGGCGAGCGGUUCGCUCACUGUGUUUGUGCCGAGGGGUGUUAUCCCGGGUGGAGGAUCCGGAGCUCACCAAAAUCUGUGAUAUGAGGCAUAUUUUGAAGAAGAGAUAACAUAAUAUUAUAUACACAUUUUCACCUGGAAUGUUGGUACCUGUCUGAUAUCGUCUCGCUUGACUGCAAGAUAUUUACUUCAACUUGUGAUACUCAGCAUUGUUACAACUGAAAAGGCAGCUCGGCGACACCCGGUCCCAGCCACAGACCAGCGAGAUGGCGCUCUGGCACAAGGUGCAGCAGCUGCCAGAGGCCUCUCUGAGGAAGAUCUACGGCGAACACUUCCCGAUCGAGGUGCGCCACUGCCUGGCGCCCUGGAUCGAGUCCAAGAUGUGUCAGUUCCAGGAGAUUAACCCGGACGAUCCGACCCACGAGCAGUACGCCAGCCAGCUAGUGAUGGCGCUGAUCGCCGAGCUGGAGAACAAGGCCACCUCGCUGCCCAGCACCGACGAGCUGUUCGUCGUCAAACUCAAACUCACAGACUGCGCCAACAUGUUCAAGGCGCGCUACCCGCAAAACUCGCUUUCGCUGGUCCGUAUUAUUCAGCACGCGCUCAACUGGGAGCUGAAGCUGGUCACACAGCACGAGACUGGUCUGCAGGGCAUGGCGCCCGGCGGGAUGGCGCUCAUCCCGGACACGGCCUCGGAGAUUAUCCAGCAGAUCCAGUACCUGCGACAGCGCGUCCACGACGCCGGCGAGGACUACGAGAAGAUGAAGCAGGAACAGGAGUCGUUCGCCAUCCAGUACCACGAGUGCGCCAAACUCAACGCCACCCUGCAGCACAUCCAGGGCCAGCGCGGCCAGAACCCGCUCGGAGUCGAGCAGGAGAAGGAGCUGAAGAGGAAGAAGGAGCUGACAGAGUCCACCCUGACGCAGAAGGUAUCUGGACUGCUGCAGAUGCGCCUGGCGCUGGCUGACAAGCACAAGGAGACGGUCUCGCUGCUGACCCAGGUGCAGUCGCGCGUGCUAGACGAGGAACUGAUCCGGUGGAAGCGCGAGCAGCAGCUGGCCGGCAACGGCGCGCCCUUCAGCAACAACCUCGACCAGAUCCAGGAAUGGUGCGAGGAGCUCUCAGUGAUCAUCUGGGAGACGCGCCACCAGAUCAAGGAGGUGGAGCGGCUGCGGCAGCGCGUGCCGAUCGACCCGCCGGGCGGCGUGGACAUCCUGCCGCAGCUCAACCAGGACAUCACCCAGCUGCUCUCAUCGCUGGUCACCAGCACGUUCAUUAUCGAGAAGCAGCCGCCGCAGGUGAUGAAGACUAACACGCGGUUCACGGCCACCGUGCGACUGCUGGUGGGCGCCAAACUCAGCGUGCACAUGUCGCCGCCGCAGGUGAAGGUGACCAUCAUCAGUGAAGGUCAGGCCAACCUGUUGCUCAAGAACGACAAGAUGAACAAGGGAGACGCCAGCGGCGAGAUCCUCAACAACACUGGCACCAUGGAGUACCACCAGGCCACCCGCCAGCUGGCCGUCAACUUCAGAAACAUGCAGCUGCGCAAGAUCAAGCGCGCCGAGAAGAAGGGCACGGAGUCGGUGAUGGACGAGAAGUUCUCGCUGCUCUUCCAGUCGCAGUUCACCGUGGGCGGCGGCGAGCUGGUGUUCCAGGUGUGGACGCUCUCCCUACCCGUGGUGGUGAUCGUCCACGGCAACCAGGAGCCGCACGCCUGGGCCACCGUCACUUGGGACAACGCGUUCGCCGAGCCGGGCCGCAUCCCGUUCGCCAUCCCCGAGCGCGUCUCCUGGGCUCAGGUGGCCGACGCGCUCAGCACAAAGUUCAAAUCGGCCACCGGCAAGCCGCUCUCCGAGGACAACCUACGCUUCCUGGCCGGAAAGGUGUUCAGGAGUCCGCACGUGCAGGACUUCACCAACAUGAUGCUGACGUGGCAGCAGUUCGCCAAGGAACCGCUGACCGACCGCAACUUCACCUUCUGGGAGUGGUUCUACGGCGUGAUGAAGCUGACGCGCGAGCACCUGCGCGGCCCGUGGAACGACGGCCUGGUGAUGGGCUUCGUGGGCCGCCGCCAGGCGGAGGAGAUGCUGCAGCAGCGGCCGCACGGCACCUUCCUGCUGCGCUACUCGGACUCGGAGUUGGGCGGCAUCACCAUCGCCUGGGGCGCGCACGAAAACGGAGAGCAACAAGUGUACAUGCUGCAGCCGUUCACCAACAAGGACUUCGCGAUCCGCUCUCUGGCCGACCGUCUGUCGGACCUGAAGCACCUGAUCUACCUGUACCCGGACAUCAUCAAGGACCAGGCCUUCUCCAAGUACUACACGCCCAUCAACAGCAGCAGCAACACGUCCAACAACGGCUACGUCCGCCCGCUGCUCGUCACUCACGUGCCGGGGUGGUCGGGUGUGGGUGGCAUGGACAGCUACCCGAACACGCCUCAGACGUUCUACUCGCCCACAUCGCCCGACAACACCAACCGGGACACGCCGUCGGUCAACUCGGCCAUCUCCGAGUCCGUCUCCACGUUCGCCACGGCCGACGGCGACGCCAGCGACAUCAUACCCGACAUCGCCAUCCUGGACGACAUGCCCAUGGACUUCAACAACAUCAACGACUUCCUCCAGUCGGUCGACACCAAACCGCCCAUCUUCGGACUCAACCCGCCGCCGCCCAUGUAGGCUCAGUGGCGGCGGAGGACGAGCGACCGGGCGGCCAGCGCCGCUCGGCUCGCCGCCGCCGGUCCGGCUCCGAGCGAGCAUCUAACAAGGUGGCGCGGCGGGCGGCUGUUCAAAGUUCAGGUAGGAGCGACCACUGCCCGCGCCGCGCGCCGGCGACUCGAGAUGUCUCGCCGCCUUCCCCGCCCGGCCGGUCGGCCGAGGAUUAUGUUAAGGUAGUGCUAAGGAGCUCUCUUUCUCUGCGCGGGAUCGACAGACACCCUGUCCGGUGACCCAAAACGUUUCAAAGUGCGCUUUCAUCUAUUCCAUCGGCGCGCCCCGUCCGCUUGUCGUCCAGGCUAGUGUUUGUAUAACGUUUUGUAUAGAUGACCGCCUAGUGUUUAGUGUCGUUUCGACGUGAUGGUCGCUACAAAGCUUUUGGAGGAGACGCUUGUGGAAGAAUUUAGUAUUGAGGCUCUUGUCUCCUGCUCCCUAAUCUAUACUGUCAUUUAGACGGUGCAUUUUACUUGAGCUCCAUCUUGUCCUCUCGAUCAUGUAGGUUAGUGAUUUAGUGGCUCGUCCCGGUCGUUUCCGUGUCCGUUUGUGAUGUAUCUUUCCUGUCCUCCGUUCCGAUUUGUCUGGUUCGAUGUUCUGGCCGGCCGGCGCGGAGCCGGUCUGAGUAGAUGACUUCCCUGGCGGCGCGGCGCGCUCGCCGGUCGCAGUAGGGGCGCCGUGGGACCGGAGUGUGCCGGUGCCACGCGCCCAGGCCUUGCCAGUCCCUCCAGAUGACGCCUUGCGGGGCGGGCUCGCGGCGUCUCGGACAAAGUGCACUUAGUCCCGCCCUGGCGGCGCUGUGGUGCCACACAGUCCGCGGCGGAGAGAGCUGUACCUGACCCUCGCCGGCCGUAGAGGUGCGGUAACGGAAACGUAGGGGACAGAGACGCGCACAAGUUUGGCGCCGAUAUCGGAACUAUACGGAGAGCGUUACGGGAGAGAGAGAGGGAGAGUGAGAGAGAGGACGGAGGGAGCGCCGGAGGCCCGGCGGCCAUGCGGGUCGGUGCAGUAGGGUACGGUGAUGUGACCACCGGUCGGUGCCGUAGGGGACGGUGAUGUGACCACCGGUCGGUGCCGUAGGGUACGGUGAUUCGUCCACCGGCGCAGUAGGAUCCGGUGCUUUGUUCGCCGGUCGGUGCCGUAGGGUGCGGUGAUUUGUUGACCGUUGUGUGUCGCCAGAGACGCGGCGUCCUGGUUUGUUGUCUCCCUUGGUUGUAUCCGGCGUUAGCUGAGGGCUCGGGUGGGCCCCGGAUACGCCGGCGCUUGGCUUUGGUUUAAGGAGCUGCUGCCCGCGCUUAUUACUAAUCCGUAGCUGGUUGUUUGUUGUGCGAAUCGGCGAGGCCAUUGGAGGAAAAGAAUCCUCCGAGAGAAUACAGCUGACUGCUUG
rnacentral:misc_RNA from 1 species